AGGAAUAAAUUUCAAUUAUACCGUCGACUCGGUAAAUAUUACCGCGAAAAACGUUCGAGUCCCUAAUCAAGUCUCUGGGAAUAAAAGUCGAAGGAAUUAAAAAAAAGAUAUCUUCCGUUUCAAAAUGAUAUAUACCUAUUGUACGAUAGAUCGAUAGAAAACGGAACACACUUUCCGUAACUUGUAACGAUCCGUUCUCAUUGCUAUUGUUGGAAAAGAAAGUGGCAUUACAUAGUUGCCGAACACUCGUCCAAAAAAUUUAAAGAAUUCGCCUAAUCUCGUCGAGAAGCCAUUAACGAAAGUAAUCGAUUAUGUGAUUAACAAAAGUAAACGAUGUAAGUGAUUAUGAUCCUGUGUUACGAACAUUCCACAGCUACUGAUUAAAUCGGAGGGUAGAUAAGAGGAAAGGCACGCGAUAAGAUGGCGUAAUAACGCAGCCCGCUUACGUCUUAUAUUAGUUUUACGGUGUUUACCAAUUGCGGUUAACUGUUUGCGCAAGAAGAACGGUCGGGCUGGCGAAUAAUAGUAAGAUUCGAGAUGGAAAAAGGAUAUGAAAAUGGUGGACAAUUGAAAACUCAUUCGUUAUCGCUUCGUUAUGACACUAUGAGCAAGAAAGUCUGAAGGCUGAGCCAAGAAUUCCAGGUGGGAGGGGUGGAGUCUUGGGGCGCAGGUGAGUGAGCUCCGGGAUGAUGAUGUGGCACAUUGGCCUCGUUCGCUCGAAUAACUCCUCUCGUCGCUAUUAGACCGGUUCUCUGUAAGUCGAUUUAAAGAAAUUUUUCCUUACGGAAAUACCGCGUCACAAGUCAGGUACGAGACAACGAACGCAAGAAGUCGAUCGAUCUGGCGAGGAUCUACGCGAAGACAAUCAAUUCUUUCCGAUGAUUUUUCAUUUUCCAUAUAUAUAUAUAUGUAGUAGGGAUAUCAUUUAUAAGAAUAAGCCUCGAUUGUAUGUGAAGAAGAAAAUGAUGCAAACUUUACGUGUCAUUAUGAUAAUGCGCAUUGUCAUCGGUUUUUUUCUCUUUCUUUUGCUACUUUGCUAUUUUUCGAAAAUAGCCUAUGGCAAAAAUAGAAAGUUUUUUCAGAAAAUUCCGCCAGAAUAGCGCAGUAGAUUGACCCUUACGUCUUAAAAUUGUUCUCCAUUGUUCAUCAAAAUUGGUCGAAAAUUACUUCUGUUAUCAUUGAUGACGUUAAUGCUGUUUUCAACAUUUUUCACGAAGAAAAAGUUACUAGUACUGCGGCGCCCCUUGAAAUUUGCGACAAAAGAGAUAAAGCUCGCAGCAGCCCCACUACUGAUUUUCAUAUACGGAAUGGUUUAUCCAGUCAGUGAAGUUGCAAUUGAUAAAGUGUGCGUAAAUAGCUGAUGCUCAGAUUUUUUGAACAUUUCUGAACGCAAAAAAAUAGGUUGCACUGAGAAGCUACGGAAACUCAUUCAAGAUAAGAAAAUACGCAUCCCUAAUCGUUUACGUUAGUUAACAUAUGGAAGCUUAAUAUAUAAAAACUGCUGGUGCAUGUCGCGAAAAAAACAAUGUAUAAAGUAUUAAAGAAUGAAGAAUUUCCUAGAAAUUCGAAGCAGCGGUAAAAAAGCUUCAUCCUACUGACGAAGAACUCUUGGAACUCUAUGCCCUUUAUAAACAAGCUACAAUAUAGAGAUUGUAAUAGACAAAAUAGGAAUAUCAGCGAAGCCCAAUGUACGUGCGAUUUGAAAGGAAAGGCAAAAUGGGAAGCUAUGGAGAAGCAAAAAAGAAUUCAAAAGAAGCGGCCAAACAUUAAGCAUGUACAUUAAGCAUGUCGGUGAAUUGAUGGAAAAA